GUCUGGAAUUUGCUCGUUAUUCACUCGAUUACCAUACCAUCAGGAACUACCUGUAUGUAAACCGAAUAUGGGGAAAACAAAGAGCUGAUCAGCAUAUGCCUUCAUAUGCAAAGAAGAUUGUGGAUACCUACAAUAAGAAUGGUGAAAUCAAUCGGAUUCUUUCCAACAAGUGACUGCAUUAGCUGGUGAAAUGCAGAUGAUAAAGAGGGCAAUUCAAGGUAAUUGAUUCCAAGCCAAGAUUCUACUGUUGAAGUCAAAUUGAUGAUGGAAAGCUUCUGCUCAACUGAGGAGAAAAGUCAAGAUCAGAUAAAAUAAUGAAGUCAAGAAAAUUGGCUGAGACUAAAUUUUGGAAGAACAAACAGUUUAAUGUACAGUUUGUCUUGGAGGUUUAGGGUUUUGGGUUUAGGGAAUUAUUAGACUUGUUAUUUUUCACGUCGUUAUGUACUCAUUUAUUUAUUUCUAAAUCUCAAAGCUCAUUUUAAGCAAAAACAAGCAAAUGAAAAUUGGGUUUCAAA